UACGUAGGUGGCAAGCGUUGUCCGGAUUUACUGGGCGUAAAGCGCGCGCAGGCGGUCUGGUCAGUCUGGGGUGAAAUCUCACGGCUCAACCGUGAGUGGUCCCUGGAUACUGCCAGCCUUGAGGUGUCUAGAGGAGAGCGGAAUUCCCGGUGUAGUGGUGGAAUGCGUAGAUAUCGGGAAGAACACCAGUGGCGAAAGCGGCUCUCUGGGGACCACCUGACGCUGAGGCGCGAAAGCGUGGGGAGCGAACCGG
rnacentral:rRNA from 1 species